rnacentral:rRNA from 1 species
ACAAUGCCAUACAGUGGAUCAAUAGGCUUGGGGGUCGAUGAAGACCGCAGCU